rnacentral:rRNA from 1 species
GUGAGGAAUAUUGCGCAAUGGAGGCAACUCUGACGCAGCCAUGCCGCGUGCAGGAAGAAGGCGCUACGCGUUGUAAACUGCUUUUAACCGGGAAGAAACCCCAGGACGUGUCCUGGGUUGACGGUACCGGAGGAAUAAGCACCGGCUAACUUCGUGCCAGCAGCCGCGGUAAUACGAAGGGUGCAAGCGUUAUCCGGAUUCAUUGGGUUUAAAGGGUGCGUAGGCGGAGCGUUAAGUCAGUGGUGAAAUCCUGCAGCUUAACUGUAGACUUGCCAUUGAUACUGGCGCUCUUGAGUGCGCUUGAAGUGGGCGGAAUGUGCCGUGUAGCGGUGAAAUGCUUAGAUAUGGCACAGAACACCAAUUGCGAAGGCAGCUCACUAAGGCGAUACUGACGCUGAGGCACGAAAGCGUGGGGAUCGAACAGGAUUAGAUACUCUAGUAGUCC